AGCGAACGCUGGCGGCAGGCCUAACACAUGCAAGUCGAACGAACCUUUCGGGGUUAGUGGCGGACGGGUGAGUAACACGUGGGAACGUGCCUUUAGGUUCGGAAUAACUCAGGGAAACUUGUGCUAAUACCGAAUGUGCCCUUCGGGGGAAAGAUUAAUCGCCUUUAGAGCGGCCCGCGUCUGAUUAGCUAGUUGGUUGAGGUAAUGGCUCACCAAGGCGACGAUCAGUAGCUGGUCUGAGAGGAUGAUCAGCCACAUUGGGACUGAGACACGGCCCAAACUCCUACGGGAGGCAGCAGUGGGGAAUCUUGCGCAAUGGGCGAAAGCCUGACGCAGCCAGGCCGCGUGAAUGAUGAAGGUCUUAGGAUUGUAAAAUUCUUUCACCGGGGACGAUAAUGACGGUACCCGGAGAAGAAGCCCCGGCUAACUUCGUG
rnacentral:rRNA from 1 species